CCACUGUGGAAUUACUAUUGCAAUGCGAACCAAACUCCGCAGUGUACAACCACCUAAAGAGGACGCUGGAUCUUGUCGGAGAGAUGAGCCGAGCGGCAUUGGAGAAUGCGCGUGCCACGGUGACUGAGGCGAGCACACAGGCCACAGGCCGUGGUGGGGGAGGUCGUGGGUCUAGAGGGCGUGGACGCAGUGGAGGUCGUGCAUACAGUGGAGGUCGUGGAGGUGGUCACGAGGAUGACGAUGUCUUGGAUGAUGAGGCGUUGGAGGGCGACUGGGGCAUGUACAUGGAUGGUGUCGGGUCAUCGUGAUGCACGUCUGACGCUGUUGCCCAGCCAUCCCACCCCCCUGGCAAUGAGAAUAGUGCAGAACACACAUCCUGUGCCCAAGCUGGCCCUCGGUCCCCACCACCCAUUCAGCUGUCUCCCCCAUUGUUUGCCGACUCUGCCCACGACGGUGGCUGUAUAUUUGUACCCACCCCUGGCCGAUCGACACCACCUCUAGUUCAAGCUGAGCCCACCCAGGACCCUUCACUUCCUAACCCUGACGAACCGGCUGCACAGAUCGAACAGAUACAGGGUGAGAAUAUAGUGCCGGUACAUGGGUUGCGAAGAUCACUCCGCACUGACAUACAUCCCCCUGGUUGUGGGACCGGUGACGGUAAGACGAGACCGGCGAAGGCAGUUGUGAGGAAACGAAAAGAUCGUUGAGCCGUUGAUGAUGUGGAGCUUAUGGGGUAGUUGGACGACGUGUUAUUGUUCAUGUAACAGCUAGCGGAUAAAACUUUGACAACAUUUUUUGGACAUAAAAGACUGACAGAUUUUUGGAGAGCAUACAUGACAGCAGAUUUUUGGAGGGCAUAUAUGUUAACAGCUGAUUUUUUGGAUAUGUUAGACACAGCUUUUGGAACAUAUUUUGUAAAUGAACCUACUUAAGCAUGUUUAUGACGUACAUGAAUAUUUGAGUCAGCUUCGAGUUAGGUACCAAUUAUACCAAUUAUAUUUGCAAAGGGUGGAUAUUUUCAUGUGCGAUGGAAAAGUUCAUUUCUAGAUUUUUGUAUCUAUGUAUCUGCAUAUUUGAACAAAGGCAGCUUUAGACGAAUGCAAUAUAGUGAUGAUGGAUGGAGAUCCCACAACUGAAGAAGUUUAAUUUAUA